rnacentral:rRNA from 1 species
UAGAGUUUGAUCCUGGCUCAGAUUGAACGCUGGCGGCAUGCCUUACACAUGCAAGUCGAACGGCAGCACGGGAGCAAUCCUGGUGGCGAGUGGCGAACGGGUGAGUAAUAUAUCGGAACGUGCCCAGUCGUGGGGGAUAACGUAGAGAAAUUUACGCUAAUACCGCAUACGAUCUACGGAUGAAAGCGGGGGACUCGCAAGGGCCUCGCGCGACUGGAGCGGCUGAUAUCAGAUUAGGUUGUUGGUGAGGUAAAAGCUCACCAAGCCGACGAUCUGUAGCUGGUUUGAGAGAACGACCAGCCACACUGGGACUGAGACACGGCCCAGACUCCUACGGGAGGCAGCAGUGGGGAAUUUUGGACAAUGGGCGCAAGCCUGAUCCAGCAAUGCCGCGUGCAGGAAGAAGGCCUUCGGGUUGUAAACUGCUUUUGUACGGAACGAAACGGCUCUUUCAAAUAAA